rnacentral:rRNA from 1 species
UACGAGGGGUGCAAGCGUUGCUCGGAAUUAUUGGGCGUAAGGGGUAGGUAGGUGGUCUCAUUUGUCUGGGGUGAAAGCCUUGAGCUUAACUCAAGAAGUGCCCCAGAAACGGUGAGACUGGAGUCCUGGAGAGGGUCGUGGAAUUCCCGGUGUAGCGGUGAAAUGCGUAGAGAUCGGGAGGAACACCAGAGGCGAAGGCGGCGACCUGGACAGGUACUGACACUCAGCUACGAAAGCGUGGGGAGCAAACAGG